rnacentral:rRNA from 1 species
CCUACGGGAGGCAGCAGUGGGGGAUAUUGCACAAUGGGGGAAACCCUGAUGCAGCGACGCCGCGUGUGGGAAGACGGUCCUCUGGAUUGUAAACCACUGUCCCCAGGGACGACGAUGACGGUACCUGGGGAGGAAGCUCCGGCUAACUACGUGCCAGCAGCCGCGGUAAUACGUAGGGAGCGAGCGUUGUCCGGAAUUACUGGGGGUAAAGGGAGCGUAGGCGGGACUGCAAGUUGGGUGUCAAAUCUACCGGCUCAACCGGUAGCCGCACUCAAAACUGCAGUUCUGGAGUGAAGUAGAGGCAGGCGGAAUUCCUAGUGUAGCGGUGAAAUGCGUAGAUAUUAGGAGGAACACCAGUGGCGAAGGCGGCCUGCUGGGCUUUUACUGACGCUGAGGCUCGAAAGUGUGGGGAGCAAACAGGAUUAGAUACCCCUGUAGUC